GUGGGGAAUCUUGCGCAAUGGGCGAAAGCCUGACGCAGCCAUGCCGCGUGGAUGAUGAAGGUCUUAGGAUUGUAAAAUCCUUUCACCGGUGAAGAUAAUGACUGUAGCCGGAGAAGAAGCCCCGGCUAACUUCGUGCCAGCAGCCGCGGUAAUACGAAGGGGGCUAGCGUUGCUCGGAUUUACUGGGCGUAAAGGGCGCGUAGGCGGACAUUUAAGUCAGGGGUGAAAUCCCGGGGCUCAACCUCGGAACUGCCUUUGAUACUGGAUGUCUUGAGUGUGAGAGAGGUGUGUGGAACUCCGAGUGUAGAGGUGAAAUUCGUAGAUAUUCGGAAGAACACCAGUGGCGAAGGCGACACACUGGCUCAUUACUGACGCUGAGGCGCGAAAGCGUGGGGAGCAAACAGGAUUAGAAACCCUGGUAGUCC
rnacentral:rRNA from 1 species